GACGAACGCUGGCGGCGUGCCUAAUACAUGCAAGUUGAGCGAUGAAGAUUGGUGCUUGCCCCAAUUUGAAGAGCAGCGAACGGGUGAGUAACGCGUGGGGAAUCUGCCUUUGAGCGGGGGACAACAUUUGGAAACGAAUGCUAAUACCGCAUAACAACUUUAAACAUAAGUUUUAAGUUUGAAAGAUGCAAUUGCAUCACUCAAAGAUGAUCCCGCGUUGUAUUAGCUAGUUGGUGAGGUAAAGGCUCACCAAGGCGAUGAUACAUAGCCGACCUGAGAGGGUGAUCGGCCACAUUGGGACUGAGACACGGCCCAAACUCCUACGGGAGGCAGCAGUAGGGAAUCUUCGGCAAUGGACGAAAGUCUGACCGAGCAACGCCGCGUGAGAGAAGAAGGUUUUCGGAUCGUAAAACUCUGUUGGUAGAGAAGAACGUUGGUGAGAGUGGAAAGCUCAUCAAGUGACGGUAACUACCCAGAAAGGGACGGCUAACUACGUG
rnacentral:rRNA from 1 species